AACGAACGCUGGCGGCAUGCCUAACACAUGCAAGUCGAACGAGACCUUCGGGUCUAGUGGCGCACGGGUGCGUAACGCGUGGGAACCUGCCCUUAGGUUCGGAAUAACUCCCCGUAAGGUGUGCUAAUACCGGAUAAUGUCUUCGGACCAAAGAUGUAUCGCCGUUGGAUGGGCCCGCGUUGGAUUAGCUGGUUGGUAGGGUAAUAGCCUACCAAGGCGACGAUCCAUAGCUGGUCGGAGAGGAUGAUCAGCCACACUGGGGCUGAGACACGGCCCAGACUCCUACGGGAGGGAGCAGUGGGGUAUAUUGGGCAAGGGGCGAAAGCCUGAUCCAGCAAUGCCGCGGGAGUGAUGAAGGCCUUAGGGUUGUAAAGCUCUUUUACCCGGGAUGAUAAUGACAGUACCGGGAGAAUAAGCACCGGCUAACUCCGUG
rnacentral:rRNA from 1 species